UGGGGGAAUUUUGGACAAUGGGCGAAAGCCUGAUCCAGCAAUGCCGCGUGUGUGAAGAAGGCCUUCGGGUUGUAAAGCACUUUUGUCCGGAAAGAAAUCCUUNGGCUCUAAUACAGUCGGGGGAUGACGGUACCGGAAGAAUAAGCACCGGCUAACUACGUGCCAGCAGCCGCGGUAAUACGUAGGGUGCAAGCGUUAAUCGGAAUUACUGGGCGUAAAGCGUGCGCAGGCGGUUUGCUAAGACCGAUGUGAAAUCCCCGGGCNCAACCUGGGAACUGCAUUGGUGACUGGCAGGCUAGAUAUGGCAGAGGGGGGUAGAAUUCCACGUGUAGCAGUGAAAUGCGUAGAGAUGUGGAGGAAUACCGAUGGCGAAGGCAGCCCCCUGGGCCAAUACUGACGCUCAUGCACGAAAAGCGUGGGGAGCAAACAGGAUU
rnacentral:rRNA from 1 species